rnacentral:rRNA from 1 species
CUACGGGAGGCAGCAGUGAGGAAUAUUGGACAAUGGGCGCAAGCCUGAUCCAGCCAUGCCGCGUGCAGGAUGACGGUCCUAUGGAUUGUAAACUGCUUUUGCACAGGAAGAAACACUACUACGUGUAGUGGCUUGACGGUAUCGUAAGAAUAAGGAUCGG